rnacentral:rRNA from 1 species
AACGAACGCUGGCGGCAUGCCUAACACAUGCAAGUCGAACGAGACCUUCGGGUCUAGUGGCGCACGGGUGCGUAACGCGUGGGAACCUGCCCUUAGGUUCGGAAUAACUCCCCGAAAGGGGUGCUAAUACCGGAUAAUGUCUUCGGACCAAAGAUUUAUCGCCUUUGGAUGGGCCCGCGUUGGAUUAGCUAGUUGGUAGGGUAAAAGCCUACCAAGGCGACGAUCCAUAGCUGGACUGAGAGGAUGAUCAGCCACACUGGGACUGAGACACGGCCCAGACUCCUACGGGAGGCAGCAGUGGGGAAUAUUGGACAAUGGGCGAAAGCCUGAUCCAGCAAUGCCGCGUGAGUGAUGAAGGCCUUAGGGUUGUAAAGCUCUUUUACCCGGGAUGAUAAUGACAGUACCGGGAGAAUAAGCACCGGCUAACUCCGU